UGAUGUUUUAGAACUACAACUCCCAUGAUGCUUUGUCAUUCGAAAAGCAUUCUGAAGGCAUGCAAAGCAUCAUGGGAGUUGUAGUUCUACAACA